UGUUGACACAAACCUGUAUGCCUGGCACCUACUUCCUUUAAAGAUUUUAUAGAAAAGUGGUUAAAAAGUGUUCAAAAAUCUACCAAAAUGACAGAUUCUUGAACAUUAUUUUCUUCCGCACUUUCAGGAUUUUACAUUUAAACACUUAAAACUGUCAAAUUGGUGAUCCCUAAAGUCUACUAACUACAAUGGUAUAAAAUAUAAUAUUCUGUAUUUUGUCAAUUUCAAGAAAUGUGAUUUGUACAGCAUUUUGGGCCGUAUUUUCAUUAUUAUUUUUCAAAAUAUACAUGAUCCAAUUGAUAGCAUUUCCACAUUACCUUGUCAUUUUUAAAUCACCAUUAGGCUUAAUAUACCACUUACUAAUAAAGUUAUAGCCAAAUUCAAAUGACUGAACAGUAAUUUAGGAGACAUUUCCACCACAUUUCUGCAUAAAGUUUAAAGGACACAAACAUAAGCCAUACAUGGGUCCAUUUGUGUUCUCCACACCACCGUAAGCAUGUUAAGCCACCAUUGGCUUAAUGUACCAAUUAUUUAUGGAGAUAUGGCCAUGUGAAUCUUGUCGAAUUAGAACCAAUGUAGCUGGUUGGCGGUCAUUUUGGAAAACUUAAUGUAAUGCCACGUUUACAUGGUACAAGGUAGACGGCAAACCGGAUGUCAUUGUUUUCAAUGAGAGCACAAUGUUAAAUGCCCUUGAGGCUGGCGGUGAAUGCCGUCAGUUACCACGGUAGACGGGUCUUUCCACCAAAGUACAAAUAUUUAAACUUUUGACGUCUGCCACAGCAUUGUUUUCAACCGGAGGUUAAUUUGCACUGUUUGUUUACUGAAAUCACCAUAACAACGUUUACUGUGGUCACAGACAGAACAUUGAGAUUUAGUUAUGAAAAUCUUUGCUUUCGUGUUGGGUUGCUUUUGCAGUCACCAUCUGUCUUGCUUUCUUGUCCCGUUAUGCCGACUGUUAUGACAGUUUUUGCGUCCUUCGUCUACUCUAAACGCAGCAUAAGGGAUAAAUAAUGGGAGUUUCUUUUUCCAAACUAAUGUCCAGAACAAAUGUGGUUAUCAUGCUUAUAGGACAGUUGCCAAGUGAAACCAUAUGAAAGCCCACAUUUACCAGUAUAAUUUUUUUUUGUUGAUAUUAUAAUUUUUAUAAGCAAAUUCAUACUUUCUCAUGUUUUGGUUGAGACACGUUCGUUCUAUAUGUUCCGUUGCUAUGCUCGCUGGCAACGGUCUUAUCCCUUGCUUGCUGUUAUCUCGCCAGCUAGCCAAGGUUAACAGUCUCGACCUCUGCAGACAGAAUAACAGCAAAGUAGCUGUUUUCUAUUGACAUUUAUUUGGAUACAUCCAUAACAAUAAACUGAUAAUGCUGGCAUCGGUAGAAACAUUUGCCUUCUCGUCAGGACACUCGUCAACACUGACUGUUAACUAUGCAGAGAUGGCAAUGCAUAUCAAACACUAGGCUAGAAGCUAGCUAAAUAGCUUGUUGCUAGCAAACCUCCCAAUAUGACAACCGAAUUCCAAAAUAUCAGUUGCUGAAAACAGCUGGUCAAACUAGAAACAUGUGGGAGGAUUUGACAGCUUUUGCAGUGGAGGGGACCAGAGAAAUUCAUGUUCAUCACUUGACACAUUAGGUCAUCAGAUUACCCAAAGAAAUAUGUGGGCAAAACAAAUCAACGCUAGCUAGUUUGCUAGCUACGUUUUUUCCUCUUUGGACCAAUUUCAGUUUGUGUAGUUGUUGGUUUAGCUUUCUGUAACUUUGUAGCAAUUACGGAAUGCAUGUGUAGGUGCGUAUUGGCGUAUCAUGAUUGCAUGGAGUCCCAAUAUAUUUUCCAACUGUCCCGUAAUCAGUUUUUACAGUUUUUUUUUUACAAUCGCUAGGACCCAUUUCUCAAUAUUUAGGUCACUUUUUCAAAACUCUUCACACAGUGAGCAUAACAGCAGUCUAUGUGGGCUAAACUAUGGAUAAUUUUUCAUUGCUUUGGCACAAAAUGCAUUCAAUGACUACAUCUUUCAAUUUUCAUGAACUCUUUUCUCACUCAGACAACCACCACCAAAACUCUAUGUACCUACAGGACAAUUUACACAUGUUUACAUACUUUUUUAAUUAAACUUAAAUUCAAAACCCAAAAUAACCACAAAAUUGAAUAAGACAUACAUUUGCUACAUUUCUACAGUAAUACUGUAUUGAAAUAUAUUCUAAAUCUAAAAAAAUGAAAUACUAUCAAAACAAUUAGACCAACCACAGCUGAUUCCCAUUGUAGCUGAACACCUACACCAACACCUGUUAGUCAUUCAAUUACAUUACCAUCUAUACAAAAGGGGACAUUUUAGGAAUAAUGAUGUAAUGUUAACAUGGACCCAGCCAGAGAUAGAGAAGUGGCUGGGAGAGGAGUACGUAUGCAUGGUGGAAGAAGACUGAGAGGAAGAUCAAGAGCUGUAGUCUCAAAUGAGAUUAGGGCUACUAUAAUUGAUCAUGUAUUAAAUCAUGAUCUAUCAAUGGGAGAGGCUGGUCUGAGAGUGCAGCCAAAUCUGCAAAGCUCAACAGUGGCAUCUAUUCUGAGAAAUUUCCGGCAAAACAACAGUACCCAACGGUUACCUCCUACAGGUGGGAGAGGUAGGAUUUUCACUGCUGGGCAGGAAACUGCAAUCGUUGAUAUGGUCAUCAGAAACAAUUGAAUAAAACUCAGAUUCGGGACAAGUGUUGGCAGACAAUGUAAGCAUAUCAAAUAUUUCUAGAGUCCUGAAACAACAUAAAGUCAGGAUGAAGCAGUUGUACACUGUCCCCUUUGAGAGGAGCUCUGAAUGAGUCAAGCAACUCAGAAACCAAUAAGUCCAGAGAGUCAUGGAGAUUGAAGCCAGGCAAACACCCCACAUAUUCAUCUUUGUUGAUGAGGCUGGUUUCAACUUGGCUAAAACACAGUGGUGAGGAAGGAAUGUGAUUGGAAAAAGAGCCACAGUGGAUGUCCCAGGCCAGAGGGGUGCCAACAUCACAAUGUGUGCAGCAAUAUCAUCUGGUGGAUUGUUGUUACACAAACCGCUAAUUGGGCCAUACAACACCGAGCGUCUCAUUUCAUUCCUGGGUGACCUCUAUGGAAGGGUCGUGCCAGGUGAGGAAAGGGUUGCAGUGAGGCGAAAUCGGCCGACGUUUGUAAUUAUAUGGGACAAGGUGGCAUUUCACCACUCCCGUGCAGUCACAGUGGUUUGCAGCCCAUCUCAGGAUGAUGUCACUUUUCCUCCUUCCUUACUCUCUAUUCCUCAACCCCAUAGAGGAAUUAUUUUCCUCAUGGAGGUGGAAGGUUUAUGACCACCAUCCACAUGAUCAAAUGUCCCUCCUGGAUGCAAUGAAUGCUGGAUGCCUGGACAUAUCUGCAGAAGAUUGCCAGGGAUGGACAAGGCAUGCCAAAUGAUUCUUUCCUAGGUGUAUUGCCCAAGAUGACAUAAGAUGUGACGUGGAUGAGAACCUGUGGCCAAAUGCAUAAGACAGGGUUGACUAGUAUUGCUACUGUAUCUGUAUUGGUAGAUGGUGUAUAUACAAAUUAUUGUAUUUUGGAAUCACUAAAUGCCAUUAAAUGACAAAACAUAUUGAAGCAUAUUGCAUCAUGUAGAGAGUUGUCAUUCUUGAUUUGUAAAGAAAACAUUGUGUAAUGCUACCUGUUGUUUAGGUCAUUGUUUUAUGAGUGACAACGUGUGCUUGUUGGGUGACAACUUUGCUAGUGUUAUGGAAAAACGAGUUGAUUUAAGACAUGUAUGAAGUGUUUUGGUAGUUUUAGGGCAUUUUGAAUGUGAAAUUAACUGCUGUGCUAAGCUAAAAGUUAGUUAGGUCACUUUUUCAAAACUCUUCACACAGUUCUCCUAAGUAUUGAGAAAUGUGUCCUAGCGACUGUAAAAGAAAAAAAAACGAAUGUCCAUUCUAGAAUGCCGUUCUAGCCAAUCAGAAACAAGUAUUCAACAACGCUGUGGUAUAUUAGGUUAUUACAUCUGCAAUGUCACUAUAGCUAGACAUCUUUAUAUACUAUUUUAUUCACUUUGUAAAGACUGAAAGCUCUCAUUAUAAUGGGCCACAUGUCUCUCUGCUGGACAUAUGGGAUUUAACUAAACAUAAUAUAUUAUUGUAAUCAGUAGACUUCAGGGAACACCCAUAUAUUUUUGAGCAUUUACAAGUAAACUAUUGGAACUAGUCAUGAAAACAUGUACGUAAAUUAAGUUGGCACAUGUUUUUGCCACUUUUCUACUCAUAUUUUUAAGGAUAUGUACAUUAUCGUUCAAAGGUGUGGGGUCACUUAGAAAUGUCCUUGUUUUUUAAAGA